rnacentral:snRNA from 1 species
CUCUAUCCCCAAUAGAUUUAG